rnacentral:rRNA from 1 species
UGGGGAAUUUUGGACAAUUGGGCGAAAGCCUGAUCCAGCAAUGCCGCGUGUGUGAAGAAGGCCUUCGGGUUGUAAAGCACUUUUGUCCGGAAAGAAAUCCUUGGCUCUAAUACAGUCGGGGGAUGACGGUACCGGAAGAAUAAGCACCGGCUAACUACGUGCCAGCAGCCGCGGUAAUACGUAGGGUGCAAGCGUUAAUCGGAAUUACUGGGCGUAAAGCGUGCGCAGGCGGUUUGCUAAGACCGAUGUGAAAUCCCCGGGCUCAACCUGGGAACUGCAUUGGUGACUGGCAGGCUAGAGUAUGGCAGAGGGGGGUUAGAAUUCCACGUGUAGCAGUGAAAUGCGUAGAGAUGUGGAGGAAUACCGAUGGCGAAGGCAGCCCCCUGGGCCAAUACUGACGCUCAUGCACGAAAGCGUGGGGAGCAAAGCAGGAUUAGAUACCCUGGUAGUCCACGCCCUAAACGAUGUCAACUAGUUGUUGGGGAAUUCAUUUUCCUUAGUAACGUAGCUAACGCGUGAAG